AUACUUACCUGGCAGGGGAGAUACCAUGAUCACGAAGGUGGUUCACCCAGGGAGAGGCUUAGCCAUUGGGCAGCCGUGGUCUAAAGGUUAGAGAACCAGGCUUGUGACUGGAGGGUUGCUGGUUUGAUUCCAACAUCCGUGGCUGUGUGCCCUUGAGCAAGGCACU